AAUACGAAAACUCCUUUCUCUGAGUUCCCUGUCUUUGAUUUAUUUUUAACUAGGCGCUCAUGGGAACGCGGCGCUGGAAAAUCACGUCCAGAUGUACCUAAAGAGGCGCUUUCUCUGCUGAAAACCUCUCUCCUAAGGGGAGUGAAGAAAAAAAAAUCUUUAAAGUAGUUUGAAAUUUGGUUUUGCCGUGGAUCUAACCGUAAAAAGAAGGGGCAAAGCGGCGGCUGCGUUCGAUGCAGAGACGCUCAGCGAGGAGGGAGCGGCUCUGAAAAUAGAGCGCAAAGGAGACGUGCUCCUCUAGGGCAGCCUGCACCGGGUGGAGGGGAGGCAGCUCAGAGCCCAGGGCUGUUCGCUGGUCUCUUUCCGUGCUUUGGGAGGAUGCCCGGGUUUGCCCGGAGCCGGGCGGGCUGCAGCCCCUCCGCGCCGCAGCCCCUGCUCCUUCGGUGAAGUAUCACAGAUUUAUUUGGCUGUGAGAGUGGGUUUGCGGGAGGAGGAGAGAUAAACGGCCCUGAGAAAUGCAGGGGCUUUUCACAGGGAGUAUCUGUACCUGAUGCCUAAGUCGUCAGUGGGAUUUGCCUGUUGCAGUACUGCCAAGCUGGUUUGAGGCUAGCUGUCCUCAGAAGAAGCAUGGAGUCUCAAGUUCCCCAGCCAGUACCCUAGAGAGAA